CCGUGCUUGCUUGUGCUGAGGCUGGGGGAGCCGCCAUUUUGGGUGCUGAGCUUUAAGUGCCAAGUUCCUUUCACCCGUUUUCACGCCUGGAUUCAGCCAGGAGGAACAGCACAGCAUGCUGGGCUCUGGAUUUAAAGCUGAGCGUUUACGAGUCAAUUUGCGAUUAGUCAUAAACCGUCUUAAACUAUUG